ACAGAGCCCGUGAAUCCGGGCGCGCGGAAUUCAGGAUCGACGGCGCGCGCGCGCGUUACUAGCGUGGCGUCGCGCGCGUCGUCGAUUCGAUAUUUCCGCCGCCGACCCGCUUCAAACGGGUGCGGACGUCGCGACCCGUUCGCCGCCGGUCUCACGGGGCGCGUUUCAAGUUCGUCGCGCGUCGUUUCGUGCGCGCGUCCCUCGGGUCGCGCGCGCGAUGACGCGCGGCGAUGGCGCGCUUUUCGCGGGCCGGCGUUUUGCGGACGGUAGCCUCGAGCGUGCGGGUAAUCGACGCGGCCGAACGGCGAACGGUCGAACGUUCGUCGGGCGUGCGCGUCGACGCCGGUCAGCGACGAAUCUUCGGGCCUCUUUCCGACCCGUCUUGAAACACGGACCAAGGAGUCUAACGUGCGCGCGAGUCGCGGGGUAUCCGAGUCGGUAACGCGACUCGUCACGAUACGAAACCCGUGUGUACGUACGUUGUGCGAAGGCGUAAUGAAAGUGAAAGGCGCGCGCGUGCGAACGCGCGCGCCGGGGAAGACGGCGUUUCCGAGUACACGUUUCUCGGUCGUACGGUACCGAGACCGGGCGCCCGCAUUCCCAGGGCGUCCCGCUCGUACGUCGGGCGCGUCGGACGCGCGGUCGUUUCGGCGGCCGCGCGUCGGCGCCCGGCGAACUGGGGCGCACCUCUAGCGUGCACGUUGGUACCCGAAAGAUGGUGAACUAUGCCCGGCCAGGAU
rnacentral:rRNA from 1 species